AUGUCUCUUGUCAUCAGUUCACUUUUUCUUGUUUUUAUUCACUUGUGUUCGUCCCUCUUCAAUGAUUAGAUUGCUUUCCCUGUAAGGCUAAGCCCAAAUGUGGUUCAAUUUCUAGCAAUUUAUGGUUGGAGAAGCAGAUCAGGUGAAGAAUAUCCGAUUAAUAGUCCUUUCUUGUCUUUCAGCUCAUAUGAUCUAGAGAAUUUCACCCUACAGCCUUGUGCAAUUUUUUGAUCUCAUGGCUUCUUCUUCUUCUUCAGAGGGGAAGGCACCCGUGUUGGUUUUACCAGCCACCUUCAUGCAGCUUUGGAACGGAAAAAACAUCCUUUUUUUUUUUUUAUGAUCAAAUGUAAGAAACGGAAAAAACAUCCAUC
rnacentral:lncRNA from 1 species